rnacentral:rRNA from 1 species
GAUGAACGCUAGCUACAGGCUUAACACAUGCAAGUCGAGGGGAAACGAUAGAGAAAGCUUGCUUUUUCUAGGCGUCGACCGGCGCACGGGUGAGUAACGCGUAUCCAACCUGCCCACCACUUGGGGAUAACCUUGCGAAAGUAAGACUAAUACCCAAUGACGUCUCUAGAAGGCAUCUGAAAGGGAUUAAAGAUUUAUCGGGUGAUGGAUGGGGAUGCGUCUGAUUAGCUUGUUGGCGGGGUAACGGCCCACCAAGGCAACGAUCAGUAGGGGUUCUGAGAGGAAGGUCCCCCACAUUGGAACUGAGACACGGUCCAAAACUCCUACGGGGAGGCAGCAGUGAGGAAUAUU